rnacentral:misc_RNA from 1 species
GAUGAAGAACGCAGCGAAAUGCGAUAAGUAAUGUGAAUUGCAGAAUUCAGUGAAUCAUCGAAUCUUUGAACGCACAUUGCGCCCGCCAGUAUUCUGGCGGGCAUGCCUGUUCGAGCGUCAUUACAACCCUCAGGCCCCCGGGCCUGGCGUUGGGGAUCGGCGGAAGCCCCCUGCGGGCACAACGCCGUCCCCCAAAUACAGUGGCGGUCCCGCCGCAGCUUCCAUUGCGUAGUAGCUAACACCUCGCAACUGGAGAGCGGCGCGGCCACGCCGUAAAACACCCAACUUCUGAAUGUUGACCUCGAAUCAGGUAGGAAUACCCGCUGAACUUAAGCAUAUCAUAAGCGGAGGA